rnacentral:rRNA from 1 species
CACGUAGGGGACGAGCGUUGUCCGGAUUCAUUGGGCGUAAAGCGCGCGUAGGCGGCCCGGUAAGUCCGUUGUAAAAGUCGAAGGCUCAACCUUCGAAAGCCGAUGGAUACUGCCGGGCUAGAGUACGGAAGAGGCGAGUAGAAUUCCUGGUGUAGCGGUGGAAUGCGCAGAUAUCAGGAGGAAUACCCAUAGCGAAGGCAGCUCGCUGGGACGUUACUGACGCUGAGGCGCGAAAGCGUGGGGAGCGAACAGG